rnacentral:rRNA from 1 species
GAUGAACGCUGGCGGCGUGCCUAAUACAUGCAAGUCGAGCGAACAGACGAGGAGCUUGCUCCUUUGACGUUAGCGGCGGACGGGUGAGUAACACGUAGGUAACCUACCUAUAAGACUGGGAUAACUUCGGGAAACCGGAGCUAAUACCGGAUAAUAUUUCGAACCGCAUGGUUCGAUAGUGAAAGAUGGCUUUGCGAUCACUUAUAGAUGGACCUGCGCCGUAUUAGCUAGUUGGUAAGGUAACGGCUUACCAAGGCAACGAUACGUAGCCGACCUGAGAGGGUGAUCGGCCACACUGGAACUGAGACACGGUCCAGACUCCUACGGGAGGCAGCAGUAGGGAAUCUUCCGCAAUGGGCGAAAGCCUGACGGAGCAACGCCGCGUGAGUGAUGAAGGUCUUCGGAUCGUAAAACUCUGUUAUUAGGGAAGAACAAACGUGUAAGUAACUGUGCACGUCUUGACGGUACCUAAUCAGAAAGCCACGGCUAACUACGUG